GGGGCUGGGGCUCAGCGGUAGAGCACUCGCCUGGCAUGUGUGAGACCCUGGGUUCGAUCCUCAGCACCA
rnacentral:tRNA from 1 species